rfam:Clostridium ventriculi strain 2789STDY5834858 genome assembly, contig: SCcontig000003
AAAUUAUAAAAAGCGCCAGAGCUUAAGUAGAUUAAAAUUUUAUUUAAGUUGACGAGGAUAGGGAAUAUCGAAAUUUCGGCGGAUACCCUACGGUACUUUACACUAUCGAAAAAAAUUGGACAAAACUUAAAAGUAAUUUUAAGGACAAAACCAAUUGAGUGUAAAAU